UACGGAGGAUGCAAACGUUAUCCGGAAUGAUUGGGCGUAAAGCGUCCGCAGGUGGCGAUGUAAGUCUGCUGUUAAAGAGUCUAGCUCAACUAGAUAAGAGCAGUGGAAACUACAUAGCUAGAGUACGUUCGGGGCAGAGGGAAUUCCUGGUGUAGCGGUGAAAUGCGUAGAGAUCAGGAAGAACACCAGUGGCGAAGGCGCUCUGCUAGGCCGUAACUGACACUGAGGGACGAAAGCUAGGGGAGCGAAUGGG
rnacentral:rRNA from 1 species